UUGUAUGGAUUUAUGUCUUUAAUCAAUCUUGAGUUUAUUUUUGUGUAUGGUGUUACAAAGUAGUCAGUUUAAUUGUUUUAUAUGUAGCUGUAGUUUCCCCAGAAGAAGUUAUUAAAAAGGCUUUCUUUUCCGUAUUGUAUAUCCUUGUCUCCUUAGUCAUAGAUUGGCCAUCUACCUGUGGGUUUAUUUCUGGGUUCACUAUUCUGUUCCAUUGAUCUAUGUGUCGGUUUUUGAUCUAGUACCAUCCUGCUUUGAUUACUACAGCUUUAUAGUAGAUCUUCAAAUCUGGAUUGUUCUAUCUCCAGCUUUCUUCUUCUUUCUCAUUAUUGCUUUGGCUACUUGGGGUUUUCUGUGGUUCCAUACGUAUUUUAGGAUUAUUCUAGUUUUGCACAAAAAUCCUUUUGCUAUUUUGAUAGGGGUUGCAUUGAAUCUGUAGAUUGCUUUGGGUAAUAUGGACGUCCCAACACAGGAGUGUGGGCUUGUCAGACUUUGGUAUUGGGUCUGCCUGGGGAGAGAGCCUUAGCUAUGAUUAGGGUUCCAUCCAGGGACAUCGCCAUGGCUGAAGUGACACCAGGCUCGUGAUGUCCCUUCAGGGCUUAAGUGAGGGCCCAUGUGACAUUGUGGGUCAAGUGUAGGGUUAAGUUUUGAGAUAGUGUUAGGGUUCGGUUGAGGGUUCUGAUUAGGGUUAAGUUUAGUGUUAGUUCCCAUGAGACUCCAGAUGCUGAACCCACAGCAGUGCAUUUGUCUCCCUGAAGGGCUGAGUGGAGAGUACAUGGAGUGUGCCAGUCAGGAUCAGUUUUUGGGUUCCAGGAACCGACAACUAUAUGGGUCACUGGUCGGGUAGGCCUCAGGAAUCCUCUCAGGCAGCUGCAGCUGGGCCUUGGAAACGACAUGGUGAUGUUCAGGUUCAUGCCGAGUAAUCCUGCACUGGACCACAAGGGGUGUGGUGCUGUCAGACAUUGGUAUUUGUUCCCCAUGGGUAGAGAACCUUAUCUAGCAUUAGGGUUUGGUCCAGGGACCUCACCAAGGCCACUGCGACUUCAGUCUCGUGAUAUCCCUCGAGGCCUCAAGUGAGGGCCCAUGUGACAGUGAGGGUCUAGUUUAGGAUUAGGUUUUGAGAUAGGGUUACGAUUCGGUUGAGGAUUCUGGUUAGGGUUAUGGUUAGGGUUAGGGUUAAGAUUAGUAUUAGGGUUAGGGUGAGGUCCCAGGAGGCUCCAGGCGCUAAACCCACAGCAGGGCAGUUGUCUUCCUGAAAGGCUGAGUGGAGGACAAAUAUGAGGGUGUCGGUCAGGAUUAGUCUUUGGUUUCCAGGCACCCAAAUCUAUGGGCCAAUUUUCGGGCAGGCCUCAGGACCCUCUCAGGCAGCUGAAGCCGGGCCUUGAAAAGAACAUGGUGAAGUUCCAGGUUCUAUGCCGAGUGAUCCUGCACUUCUUCGUGACCCCAGGCAUGUUGUGUUGUCAGAUUUGGUAUUGGUUCACCAUGGGGAGAGAACCUUAGCUACGUUUAGGUUUCGUUCCAGGGACGUCGCCAAGGCCAAAGCAAACACAGUCUCGUGAUCUCCCUCGAGGUCUGAAGUGAGGGCCCAUGCGACGGUGCAGGUCUAGUUUAGGGAUAGUUUUCGAGAUAAUGUUAGGGUUUGGUUGAGGGUUCUGGUUAGGGUUAGGGUUAUGUUCCAGGAGGCUCCAGGCACUGAACGCACAGCACUGUAGUUGUCUCCCAGAAGGGCUGAGUGGAGCAAAUGAGGUAGGGUGCCGGUCACCAUUAGCCUUUGGGUUCCAAGGCAAGACAUCUCUAUGGGAAAUUGUCGGGUAGGGUCAGGAAUCCUCUCGGGCAGCUUCAGCUGGGCCUUGGAAAGGACAUGGUGUUGUUCGAGGUUCUAUGCCAAGUGAUCCUGCACCUUUUCAUGACCCCAGGAGCAUGGUGUUGUCAGCCCUUGGUAUUGGGUCCCCAUGGGGAGACAUCUUUACCUAGGAUUAGGGUUCCUUACAGGUAUGUCCCCAGGGCCGAACCGACUCCAGUCUCGUGAUCUCCCUUGUGGGCUAAAGUGAGGGACCAUGCGAAGGUGUGGGUCAAGUGUAGGGUUAGUUUUCGAGAUGGGGUUAGGUUUCAGUUGAGGGUUCUGUUUAGUGUUAGGGUAGGUUUACGGUUAAGUCCCAGAAGGCUCUAGGUGCUGAAACCACAGGAGUGUAGUUGUCUCCCCAAAGGUUUGAGUUGAGGGCACAACGGAGUGUGCCGGUCAGGAUUAGUCUUGGAUCCCCAGACCAGACAACUCUAUUGGCCAGUGGUUUUGUAGGUCUUAGGUAUCCUCAAGGGCAGGUGCAGAUGGGCCUUGGAAACACAUGGUUAUGUUCCAGGUUCUAUGCCGAGUGAUCCUGCACCUCUUCUGGACCCCAGGCCCAUGGUUUUGUCAGACUUUGUUAUUGGGACCCAUGGGGAGAGAACUUUACCUAGGGAUAGGGUUCAGUCCAGGGAUGUCGCCAGGGCUGAAUUGACUCCUGUCUUGUGGUCUCCCUCGAGGUAUGAAAUGAGGGCCCAUGCGAUGGUGAGGGUCAAAUGUAGGGUUAUGGUUCCAUAUUAGGUUGAGUGUUCUAGUUAGGAUUAAGAUUAGGGUUAGGGUUAGGUCCCAGGAGACUCCAGGCAUUUACCCCACAGCAGUGCAGUUGUCUCCCUGAAAGACUGAGUGGAGGGUACAAGAGAGGAUUCUGUUCAGGAUUAAUGUUUGUUUUCCAAUGCCACAGAACUCUAUGGUCCACCGGUCCGGUAGGCCUCAGGAAUUCUCUCUGGCAGCUGCAGACGCACCUUGGAAACAACAUGAUGUUCCAGGUCUAUGCUGAGUAAUCCUGCACCGCUUCAUGACCCCAGAAAAUAAAAAGGCCCUGAAAGACAAGUGUAAUGCAUUGAGGUCUGUGAAAGCCACAAAGGAAGCAAAAGUCAAACAGCUGAAGGAGAAAGCACAUAACCUGGAAGAAUUCUAUGAACAAAGAAAAGUGCCUAC